CGUUGAGCAGAGAGAGAGGGUUCUCUCCGGUGUGUGGUCGGCUGAGUCCGGGGCCCGUCCCAGUCCCUGGAACCUGAGCCUCCGUCGCCUGCCGCAGGGAUUUUGCAGAUGGGAUGGAGCAAGGGCCCUGGAGCGGGAGGCGUCCCCGGAGCCCCGGAGGCCCGGACACCGGCACAGACGGUCACGAGGGGCUGGCAGGAGGGUCGGGUCACCGGGAUCACUGGGAGGCGGCCUUGAAGGUGAGGCGACUGCCCCUGAGGAGCACGGGGACGAUGCACGGCCGGACUCUUCUCCAGAGCCUCAGCAGCUCACCCCCUGACACCCCGACCUCGUGCCCCUGGCCCCCCGAGCCGGGGCAGCAGAAGCCUGUCCAUCUGACGGCGCAGCAGGCCCGGGAGACGUGCGGCCAGCAGAGGGGGCGGCACACGUGUCCCCAGGCCUCCCCGCCCGGCCUUACUGGUUCCAGCUGCCCAUUUGGCCACAUGAGAGGCUGGGCGUGUGUGCUGGGCUUUCCAGAAGCCCGGGACCCCUGGAGAGCAGAGACUCGGUCUAUUUGCUGCAGAGUGUCCCCCUUUCCCGCCCGACCCUGCCCAGUGCCACGUGCCGAGCCCGUAGCCGUCGCUCCGUGACUAUUUGUCGAUGGACACACAGCGUCCGGCUGAGUCCCCAGGGAGAGCCAGACUCUUGGCCACAUCGGGUCGGUGAUGUCACUUGACCUACAUCAAGGAGAAAUAAAACCAAGGGAAUAAAGCGCGUCUGUGCCCUCUCCCCACCCCUGAGCCGGGAAGCCGGGCUCCAGUGCGCCCCUUCUCCCCGAGUUUUCCCUCCUCGGCCCAGCACAGCGGGAUGUGCUAUCCUACGGGCGCCCGGGGCCGAGCCCAACAACCUAAACGUUUCCGUCAAGCGCAUCCGCUCAGCUGCACGUUAUCCCCGCCAGUAGCGGUGCCGGCUUCUCCGGCGUGAUCGCCGUGGAUCGCUCGCUGGGUCUCCGUGGCCUCGCACCAUUCACGUCAUUUCAGGCGCCUGGAGAGACCUGGGCCUUUGGGGUCCACCGGGGCCGACCCUCAGGAUGGGCGGGGGGGGAUCUGAGAGACGGCUACGGGCUCCCCCGGGGGAGCGUGGGCUGUGGCGGUGGCUGUUCUAAACUCCCACAGGCAACCGUGUGGAUCUCAUAGGACGAUUAGGGAAAUGGGAGAAGGUGUGUUAAUGUUCAUUCCUGACGACCAUUUAGUGCCUCGCGCUCAAGCUUAGCAACUUGUUCCUUCUGCAGAUCCCGACUCUUCCUGGGGAGCGCCUCUCUCUGAUGCUCAGCCAGUGGUGGGUCCGACUGGCCCCACCUCGGACACAAGGGCAGGUGGAGAAUGUGCGUGCCAGGACGUGAGGCCCGCAGAUGCGAGAUCUGAGGGGCCUAUGGUCACUUUGCUGCCAGAAGUGAGCAGCGGCUGGAGGACCUGGCCAGCACCCAGGUGGCCACGGAGCUGGGGGACGCAGGAGCUGGGCGUUGUUCGUGUCCUGGAUCAAACUGGACCUGAAACCAGACCCACCCCCGUAAGCCAAGACUUAGCCUUUAUUUCUUCUAAUACAAAGUAUCGAAACAGAUGUGACGCUUAGAGCAUCGAAGCUUCUCCACUUUACAGCGAGGAGACGGGAACGGAGGGAGGUCACACGUGUUCUCCGAAUUCCACCAAGUUCGACCCCAGAGCUGAGGCUUCAAGGUUUCAACCCCAACUACGCCUCUUCCUCCCGCGUGUCACCACAGAAUUUGUGGAUGUCAACUUCACAAGAAGAAGAGCUGGCUGCAGAUGGGACAGCGUGCCCCGUGGAGUCGUGAGUCCCAGGGCGCAGCCACCAAGAGCUUUGUGCGAAUGAAUCAGAAGACACGUCCAACUCGCUGAGCUUGGUGUUGGCCCAAAGGCGGGAUACAAGGAAAACAACGCCGAUGGUUUGUUACUUUUCUCGUUGCUUCAUAAAAGAGCAGGGAACCAAACUGUCAGUGUGGAACCAGUGGAACCAAUCCAGCAGCGACGGAUUUCUUCCAUUUUCAGCCUCGUAUCUUUGUAAACCACCCCGGCACCAAAUGCAGAGAUUAAUAUGUACCACGUACGUCAGUGACGGUGAUUUUAUCCUCUUCUAGUAUUGUGUUGGGGGUGGGGGACAACUGAGGCGGUCCCUGGACUCUCCUGGUCCUGUCGUCAAUGCAUGUUUUGGGGGGCUUGAAGGAGGGGGUGAGGGGAAUCGGGCGAUGCCAUCAGUAUUCGGAAAUCAGCGAACAGACAGAAGGACACUCGACUACAUUAGAAUCUUGGGAAAUACCACGGAAACAGAAACAGAACAGCAUUUUAUACCAAUCAGACUUGCAAACAGCAAAAAAGAAAAAGUGUGAGAGGGCCACGUGAAGGCGAGGAUGUGGGGCGUCCCGCCGGGCGGGGCUCUCACUCCUUGGAAGAGUUGGCAGCUUGAGGACACCUACGAAAACUGAAGGAACACGAACGUGCACCCGGCGUUUCCACACCUGACACCUACCCUGCGGAGGAGUUUGUGCCCAUCCACCUGCAGGGUGGCUGAGGGUCUGUCCCCGGCAGCUUUGUCAGCGCGGAGGGAAAUCCUGGGGAAAACAAAGUAUUCAUCACUAGGGGAGGGAACGGAGUCUGGACUAGCAGCCACGGUUGAUGUGGGCAAAGCAGUGUGGGCAGAUCUGCAAACUCAGUAGUCUACUGACUAACUCAGGAUACAGGCAGGUUCCUGUAGAUCCCAUCUCACACACACACACACACACACGCACGCACGCACGCACGUGUGCUCGUGGGCGCCCUAAGAGGCAUGGGUGCAGCAGAAUUCUUUUUUUUUUUUUUUAAGAUUUUAUUUAUUUAUUCACGAGAGACACAGAGAGAGGCAGAAACACAGGCAGAGGGAGAAGCAGGCUCCAUGCAAGAAGUCCGAUGCAGGAUUUGAUCACCGGACCCCGGGGUCACACCGUGAGCUGAAAGCAGAUCCUCAACCCCUGAGCCACCCAGGUGUCCCUGCAGCAUAAUUCUAUAGCCUUACCGUGUGCAGUUUGAGCAAACAGAGGAGCAUGGAAAUGGGUGGGGGAUUUUUUGGUUUCAAGCCUGGCACGCCCACAUGUCUCUGCAAGCUCGAUCUCGUCAUCAAGACGUCCCAUCCGACAGGGAGAAAUUAAAGUUAUGAGCCACCUCUGCCCAUGAGAACCAAUCGGCAUGAACAGAGGGACAUGAACUGAGAGUGGUUUCUGGGCCCGGGACAUCACAGGGCUUCCUGGAGAGGUGAUCGCCCCAAUAUUGCCUCCUUUAAAGCGUCACGAUCAGCCCAGGUGGGCCCACCACGGCAGCAGGUUAUGGGUGCGCUGGUGGCUGAGAGUAGAGGGGCAGGGGCUGGGGCAAGGCCUCGGGGGGUGGCGCUUCUGCGUUGGGGCCAUGACCUGCUGGUGGGGUGGCUGCUUCCCACUCACCACAAGCUCUGAAGCCAAGAGUAAGUCAGAAAAGUGUUGGGAGGGACCCCCUCUCGUCGGUGACUGCCGUUGCUUCUGUGAGAUGCUCGCAAGCACGGGGUGUGGAAUCAGCCACGUCGAGGGGCACGGGAAGCCCACUUAAAUGAUAAUAAAACCACUAUCUGAAUGGAA